rnacentral:piRNA from 1 species
UAGUCGACGAAUUGAGAAAAG